rnacentral:lncRNA from 1 species
GAGUAAGAAAAAAGGAAGGAAGGAAGAGAAAGAAAGAAAGGAAGGAAGGAAGGAAGGAAGGAAGGAAGGAAGGAAGGAAGGAAGGAAGGAAGGAAAGGAGAAAACACUUUUAUUAAAUUUGUUUUAUGUGUCAGGGAUUGUGCUAAGUGAUUUAUUAUUAGAUCAUAUUAUUAUAUGAUCCUCAAAUAAUUCUUCAAUGUCAGCACUAUUAUCCUCAUUUUAGUCAAGGAAACAAACAAAGAGAAUUAAAAUCAUGAAUCCAGGGCAACAUAUCUAAUAAAUUUCUUAGUCUGCA